rnacentral:rRNA from 1 species
UACGGAGGGGACUAGCGUUGUUCGGAAUUACUGGGCGUAAAGCGCACGUAGGCGGAUUUGUAAGUCAGGGGUGAAAUCCCGGGGCUCAACCUCGGAACUGCCUUUGAUAACUGCAAAUCUCGAGUCCGGAAAGAGGUGAGUGGAAUUCCUAGUGUAGAGGUGAAAUUCGAUAGAUAUUAGGAAGAAACACCAAGUGGCGAA